AUUGAACGCUGGCGGCAGGCCUAACACAUGCAAGUCGAGCGGAAACGAUCCUAGCUUGCUAGGAGGCGUCGAGCGGCGGACGGGUGAGUAACGCGUGAGAAUCUGCCCAUUUGUGGGGGAUAACUCGGGGAAACUCGAGCUAAUACCGCAUAAUCCCUACGGGGGAAAGCAGGGGACCUUCGGGCCUUGUGCAGAUGGAUGAGCUCGCGUCGGAUUAGCUUGUUGGUGAGGUAAAAGCUCACCAAGGCGACGAUCCGUAGCUGGUCUGAGAGGAUGAUCAGCCACACCGGGACUGAGACACGGCCCGGACUCCUACGGGAGGCAGCAGUGGGGAAUCUUGGACAAUGGGGGCAACCCUGAUCCAGCCAUGCCGCGUGUGUGAAGAAGGCCUUCGGGUUGUAAAGCACUUUCAGUAGGGAGGAAGGCUUACCGCUAAUAAGUGGUGAGUACUUGACGUUACCUACAGAAGAAGCACCGCUAAUUU
rnacentral:rRNA from 1 species